rnacentral:lncRNA from 1 species
UGUUCUUUAAGACAAGGUCUUAUUUUUUAUUUUUUUAUUUUAUUUUUUAAGACAAGGUCUCGCCAUUUUGCUGAGGCUGGCCUCGAACUUGUGAUCCUCCUGCCUCAGCCUCCUGAUUCACAGAAAUUACAGGCCUGUGUCACAGCACCGAGCAGAUGAGACCUCCUGCCUCUCAGGCACAGGUCUGGAAGCAGGAGGUUGCUGUCCCGGGACAGUAUGUGCUUGCAGGUCGCUGCUGCCCACCCAGGGCCACCACUCCACUGCUCCAAGGCUCUGCUGCCGCUUCGUGCAGGGCCCUGGGUUUGAUCCUCAGCACCACAUAAAAAUAAAUAAACGAAAUAGAAGUAUUGUAUCCAACUACAAGUAAUAAAUAAAUAAGUAAAAUGCAUUAGCCCA